GAUGAAGAACGUAGCGAAAUGCGAUAAGUAAUGUGAAUUGCAGAAUUCAGUGAAUCAUCGAAUCUUUGAACGCACAUUGCGCCCGCCAGUAUUCUGGCUGGCAUGCCUGUUCGAGCGUCAUUUCAACCCUCAGGCCCCCAGUGCCUGGCGUUGGGGAUCGGCGCGGCGCCCUCCGGGGCGCUGCCGGCCCCGAAAUUCAGUGGCGGUCUCGCUGUAGCCCUCCUCCGCGUAGUAGCACAACCUCGCGGCCUGGAGCUCGGCGGUGGCCAUGCCGUAAAACACCCCACUUCUGAAAGUUGACCUCGGAUCAGGUAGGAAUACCCGCUGAACUUAAGCAUAUCAAUAAGCGGAGGA
rnacentral:misc_RNA from 1 species